ACGACACAGCAAUGUCUCUAGCUUCGAGCUGACCGACUUUCGGGCCAGAUCUCCGGUCUGACCAACAAUAAACAGGGUUAAAAACAGAGAGACUCACCCCCAGAACCCGCAGGGGCAUCGAGGCGCUAACGCCGGCGCUUUGCUGCGCUCACUGCCCUCCAUGGAACCACGCAAGACCGAGGACGAAGAUGAGGCCUACCCCUUAAAAACGGUUGAAGACAGAAAAUAAGCACAGCCAUACAGCAGCUCAUGGAAAUCAGUCGUUUGCACCGUCUUACUACAACGAAGCAUUAAGUAGCUGCGACUCUUACCCAGAAGCCCUUUCUCCAGGGUGAAGGGAUGCUGAGUGAACAUGCACUCAAAGGCCACAAGAUGGAAGACCUUGUUUACAGUAUUGUGUGUUCCAACAAUGCGCACGUACCUGCAACACAAACAUCACACUGAAUCAACUCAGUGACUUCAAAUUUUCAAUUUUGGAGAUACGAGGUUCAGCAGAGCAAGACGUUCCGGCCAACUGUAUGCUUUCAACCUUGUGUGAACCGUGAACAGGACUAUGUUCAACCACAAUGCCUAUGGAUUUAAAAGGGCUCCUGUAGGUGUAACGUGUAGAUGUCCCAAUACUUUUGUCCAUACAGUAUGUGUGGGUGGCUGUUUUGGAAGGAAACCGUUUACCUGCACACUCGGGGAGGAAAGUAGAGAUUCUGCCAGGAGCGGCAAAGGAACUUUGAGUGAUCCACCACUCGCACCCAGUCCAGCUCAUCCAUAGACACUUCUAUGUAAUAUGAGUAGGACCUACAAAGAGAGAAAGAGAAGCCCAGAGAAAUGAUUUGAUGCAAUAUUUUUAUAUUAAAGGAACAGUUCAGCCAAAA